rnacentral:rRNA from 1 species
GAUCAUGGCUCAGGAUGAACGCUGGCGGCGUGCCUAACACAUGCAAGUCGAACGGAUUUUUCAUGAAGCCUAGCGAUUGAAAAGUUAGUGGCGGACGGGUGAGUAACGCGUGGGUAACCUGCCUUGUACUGGGGGACAACAGUUGGAAACGACUGCUAAUACCGCAUAAGCGCACAGCUUCGCAUGAAGCAGUGUGAAAACUACCGUGGUAGUGAGAUGGACCGCCGUCUCGAUAG